CGACGUAGUCACCUCCUCGUUGGUGAGACCCGGUAAUUGGCAUCGAUUUCAAUAUAAAUUCAUUUGUUUAAAUACAUGAUAUUAGAAAGAUUUUAUGAAAAUUUUAUUACAUUAGAAAUAUUAGUUUUUGGAAAUCGAUGCCAAGCUAAGAACUACACUAAUUCUUUUUUGUUUGUUUCAGGAUCUUGUUACAUUGUAUUUUUUUCUUAUAAAUUUUUGACAUUUUACAAAUAUUUUCAAACAUUUAUAACACUUGAUACACUUUAUCAUUAUUUAUCAAUAUUCUAAAUUGUAAUAACGAACAAUUACAACAUAAUUCUUGUAAAUUGCAUUACAUUCCGAGUAAAAUAGUAUUUUCUUAAACAAAUGAUUUGUUAUAAAUGUUUGAUAAGAAAAAGAGAGAAGAUAUCGAAAGAAUAUUAUAUUUCUUUUUCUAUCCCUUCUUAAAAAUAUAUUUUAUACUUUCAGGAAAUUCUUUUAACCGCGCGCAAUGCGGUCAGUAGAGUCAGUGUUUGCUUUCGUAACAGUUUUUUUAAAUCCUUCAAUGGAUAACGCGAAAUUAGAUUCAGUGUUUGUUUUCGUAACAGUUUUUUUAAAUCCUUCAAUGGAUAACGCGAAAUUAGAUUCAGUGCUUCUCUCAAGAAAAUAAGGCGGUCAUCCAUCACGCGAAGAGAUAUUCCACACAAUGAUGACUUCCUUUUGUUCUUCGCAUCUAAUGGUGAGUCGCAUGCUUUUUGAUUCCUCUGGUCACUCAAUCAUGUCGUAGGACGAAAGGUCCGAAUCGACACGAGUGACUGGUUGUAUACGUAGAUUUUUGCACGAGCACAGUGACCACGGGUAUAUUUUAUUAUACCCGUGAGUAGUAACACAUUCAAUGUUUUAUUUAUAUUAGUGCAGGCUAGGUUUUCUUGCGCGUCGCGUUUUCGUUUAACAAAAAUCUUCCUUUAUUUUUCAUCUCAUAAAUAAAUUUUUAGUAAAUCACAGUUUUCAAUUUCAAUAUGAAA